UACCAGCACCCCGAGUGGUCGGGACGAUUAUUGGGCCUAAAGCAUCCGUAGCCGGUUCUACAAGUCUUCCGUUAAAUCCACCUGCUUAACAGAUGGGCUGCGGAGGAUACUAUGGAGCUAGGAGGCGGGAGAGGCAAGCGGUACUUAGUGGGUAGGGGUAAAAUCCGUUGAUCCAUUGAAGACCACCAGUGGCGAAGGCGGCUUGCCAGAACGCACUCGACGGUGAGGGAUGAAAGCUGGGGAGCAA
rnacentral:rRNA from 1 species